rnacentral:rRNA from 1 species
CCCAUAUCCCCCUAGAGGAGCCUGUCCUACAACCGAUACCCCCCGUUUAACCUCACCACUCUUAGUUUAUCAGCCUGUAUACUUCCGUCGUCAGCUUACCGCGUGAGCGAAUUAAGUAAGCUUAAUGUCCCCCCAUCAACACGUCAGGUCAAAGUGCAGCAUAUAAAGUGGCAAGAGAUGGGCUACACUUUCUACAAUAGAAAAAACGAAAAAAUAUGUGAAACCAUAUUCAGAAGGUGGAUUUAGUAGUAAGGGAGGAAUAGAAUGCCCCCCUUAACCCGGCACUGGGGUGUGUACACACCGCCCGUCACCCUCCUCAACAAACCUAAUUAGUUCUUAACAAUAUGCCAACUUAUAGAGGAGGCAAGUCGUAACAUGGUAAGUA